CGCGUAGGGCGCAAGCGUUGUCCGGAAUUAUUGGGCGUAAAGAGCUCGUAGGCGGUCUGUUGCGUCCGCUGUGAAAACUCGGGGCUUAACCCCGAGCCUGCAGUGGAUACGGGCAGACUAGAGGUAGGUAGGGGAGAAUGGAAUUCCCGGUGUAGCGGUGAAAUGCGCAGAUAUCGGGAGGAACACCGGUGGCGAAGGCGGUUCUCUGGGCCUUACCUGACGCUGAGGAGCGAAAGCGUGGGGAGCGAACAGG
rnacentral:rRNA from 1 species